rnacentral:lncRNA from 1 species
GUCUCAAAAAAAAAAAAAAAAAAAAGGAGAGCCAGCUGGACUCCAAAAGAGAGCCCAUCUUUCUACCGAGCCCAGCCCAGGUGACCCCAUUUUGCCUCUCUCCCAGGCUUGACCACUAUGCCAUCAUCAAGUUCCCACUGACCACCGAGUCUGCUAUGAAGAUGGAAGACAACAACACACUUGUGUUGAUUGUGGAUGUUAAAGCCAACAACACCAAGUCAAACAGGCUGUGAAGAACCUCUAUGACGUGGAUGUGGCCAAGGCCAACACCCUGAUUCGGCCUGAUGGAGAGAAGAAGGCAUAAAGGCAUAUGUUCGACUGGCUCCUGAUUAUGAUGCUUUGAAUGUUGCCGACAAAAUUGGGAUCAUC